rnacentral:rRNA from 1 species
CAGUAGCGUAUAUUAAAGUUGUUGCAGUUAAAAUGCUCGUAGUUGAAGUUCGGAUGCAGCAGAGCUUGGAAACGCUGUUAUGGUGCUUCCGUUGCUUUUGCUUGUCUACAGUGCGUUGCAAGUACGUAUGUGCUUGUGCGUGCAUUUUACUUUGAGAAACAUAGGGUGUUCCACGCAUGUUACGGCAUGAAUAUUCCAGCAUGGGAUAAUCUGGUACGACUUCCAAUCUGCCAUUUUGGUUCGUAGGUUGGAAGUAAUGAUUAAUAGGGACUGUCGGGGGCAUUGGUAUUUGACUGUCAGAGGUGAAAUUCUUAGAUUCGUUGAGGACCAACCACUGCGAAAGCAUUUGUCAAGGAUGUCUCCAUUAA